CAUAACACAGAUUAAGACACAAUCAUACAUAUAUCAAAUUAUAAUCUUAGGUUAGAGUAUAAGGAAGUAUACCGUUAAACUCCAUCUAUUCAGCAGCAACAACAAACAACGAUUAUGUCUGAGAUCAACUUCCACGAUCCACUAGCUACACGCUCUCACAGCCAUAAUGUCAGACAUAAUUAAAACCAAAUUAGGAAGAGAGAAGUACCUU
rnacentral:lncRNA from 1 species